CCUACGGGAGGCUGCAGUGGGGAAUAUUGGACAAUGGGGGCAACCCUGAUCCAGCCAUGCCGCGUGUGUGAAGAAGGCCCUCGGGUUGUAAAGCACUUUCAGUGAGGAAGAACGCCUGGUGGUUAAUACCCAUCAGGAAAGACAUCACUCACAGAAGAAGCACCGGCUAACUCCGUGCCAGCAGCCGCGGUAAUACGGAGGGUGCGAGCGUUAAUCGGAAUUACUGGGCGUAAAGCGCGCGUAGGUGGCUUGAUAAGCCGGUUGUGAAAGCCCCGGGCUCAACCUGGGAACGGCAUCCGGAACUGUCAAGCUAGAGGGCAGGAGAGGAAGGAAGAAUUCCCGGGGAGGCGGGGAAAUGCGUAGAGAUGGGAAGGAAAACAGUGGGCGAAGGCGGCCUCCUGGACUGACACUGACACUGAGGUGCGAAAGCUUGGGUAGCAAACGGGUUAGAUACCCUUGUAGUC
rnacentral:rRNA from 1 species